GCGAGGGCCUUGUUAAGAAGAAGAAAGGGGCUCUCUCCUCCAGCCGAGCAAGAUGCCCAAAGGAAAGAAGGCCAAGGGGAAGAAGGUGGCCCCGGCCCCCGCCGUGGUCAAGAAACUAGAGGCC
rnacentral:sRNA from 1 species